CCAGGCGGCAGAUGGCGGCGGGGAAACACCCGGUCCCAUCCCGAACCCGGAAGUUAAGCCCGCCAGCGCCGAUGGUACUGGGGCGUGUCCCCGGGAGAGUAGGUCGCC
rnacentral:rRNA from 1 species